AGGCCAGUAGCUCAAUUCGGCAGAGCACCGGUCUCCAAAACCGGUUGUUGGGGGUUCGAGUCCCUCCUGGCCUGCCA
rnacentral:tRNA from 1 species